UUGUUUCAUUUAUGCUGUUCCGUAAUACCGCGAACUGGCACGCACACCUGUUCCCUCCUGAUUGAAAUUGAACAGCAGACCGCAUUUCCAGAGGCUGACUUUAUGGUUGAGUCGGCUGAACGUUAAGCUGUCUCUACAACCACACUGGAUGAAGGUAUCCUUACCAGGUGACUCUACAAGUUUGUUUUAUCGACCUUACGAGGUGAAACUGAUGCCAGAUGAAACUGAUGCAACGCUUGAAAAGAGUGGAGCUUCUCUAUGAGUACCAGAAGAGAGACAAUAACAAACUCAUUAAUGAGAAGAUGGCAAAAACCUUCUCACUGCGUCGAAAUUAUGUAAUCCUCCAACCACCUGUGAUCGACCUUAAAGCUCGAUGGCCUGCCUUCUUUGAGUGUUUCCAGGUUUUCAAUGACAACGAUGGUGCAGCUGUCCAAGAAGCUCUACUACUACUUUUGUCCUCGGCAUCUUUGUUGUCAGCAAAACCAGGGAUGGUCUCCCCAAGCAAGCUGGAAUAGCCGUUGAGGGAGCAGAAAUCCUUUUUGGUAUCCCAGAUGUGGCACAUGCUUGCACCUAUCUGAUGGGCCUUAUCUAUGCCUUGGAACUAAGGUACCCUAAUAAACUGAAAUACACAUUUGAGGUCUUUCAGAAGAUCUUCCUAGAGCUGGAGGAUGCGAACAAAAAAAAUUCCUCCAAAGUCCAUGAUCUCAAGAUCGGUUUGCAUGCUUAAAAGCUAUACAGAUGGUGUUGAAGGUGUAGGAUUUGAGUGAGCUCACUCUUAUCAAGUUUUACAGAGUUUUACACAGUUCUUCUGAGGUUCUCCCAAUGCACUCUCUCAGGUUACACUGCUCGUUUUUUUCUAUGAUGUUGGGAAAUAAUUAAUUUGAUAGAGUUUAAUGUGCUGGCGCAUGCUUUAUUAUGUUACAGUGGUGCUCAUAAGUUUAUGAACCCAUGCUUAAGUUGACUAAAAGAGGAAUAAAAAAUAAUCUUUU